CGGCGGGGCUGAUCGGCUGAAACGUGGCUUGGGCGGUGCGUCCCGGCUGCUGCCUCGAGCCUUGCGGCGCGGGUGCGGGGCGCUGCGCUCUGCCGCUUGGCGCGGCCCAAACGCGGUGUCAGGCGCCGCACAGGGAGCGCGAAAUAACCUUGGCCCGGACAGCGGUCUGCUCCCGAGCAGUAGCAGACAGUUCGCCCCUCUUCCUCCUGUUCAGGGCUGGAGCUGUUCUCCGCGACAUCCAGCAAUUCGUGCUGGAAGCAAAACAGGCGUUUUUAUGUUCAUCAUCUCUGGUCCUGUGAAACUGAGCUGUUACUGCUCCGCUUUAUGAUGCGUGGAGUUCACACUUGCCCAGGCAUCUGUAUCAAUCCUGCUACUUUCCUCCAAGUGUAAUAUGAUACUAGUAGCUGUGUGUGCGUGGAAUAAACUUGCUUUAACUAUGAACUAUGGAGAUAAACUUUAUGGUGAUAUCCUGGAAGUUGUGCAGAAUAAUUAAGCCCUUCAUGAAAACAUCAACAGUUCUUGAAGACUAUAUGAUGUACAAUUGUGGAUGUUCCUGAAUGUUUAAGAAUGUGACUUAUUAGCAAGUAUCCAGUGGAGAAUGAAUGAAUAACUGACAGCGCAGUUGGGAUAUAAAACUACUUGCGACUCUAGUGCUACUAAGACAGAGUUCUCUGAAGGCUGACUCAAUAUUAAAGUGAAAUGGUGGAAAAUGUACAAGCAGAUGCAUUUAGUUAUGCAGUGAUGAGGUGGAAUUUUUGUAUCAUCACCUGACAAGUGUGGAUGGUAUCACUGGAAGAAGUCCAACACCUGAAGAUACUCACAUACCAAGAUUUUAACAACAAAAAAAUUUACCAGGUUUAUGCUUCUGAAAUAGUUUGUGGAAUUGUUUGGUAGUUAAUAUUUCUAAAAUGUCACAUGGCACAGAACCAGUUGGUUUCCACUUUUAAAACUGUGAGCAAUCAUGUUUUGUGGAAAUCUGAAGGUUUUGCCAAAAGUGAAGACCCAGCUCCCUCUAGUGAAACCAAAGCUAGAAACUGCAUGUGGAAUCAAAGAAGAGAAAAUUCAGUUUUGCUAGAAUCAGUCACAUUUAACAUUUUAUGUUUUCAGACAUGACUUCUCUCAGGAGAUUAUGGUGGCUGAAGGGAAAUAGAACAUACUUUAAAACUUUUUUAAAAGUGUAGCAUAAUUAAUUUUUUUCUGUUUUAUCAGGAAAGGCUCCCCUGCUCAGUAAAGAAAAUACUAAGGGCAACAAACAAUAAGCUUCAGUAGCGGGGUGGAAAAAACUCCCAGUGGCUAGCUGGUCUCCUGUGAAAGAAAUAAAGCACAAUUUGCUAUUACUGAGGAAAAACUUACCUCUAACAGUAAUAAAAUAAUAAAUAGUCAAUGGAAAACCCAGGCACCCCAUGUAAAAAGAUGGAGAGUACUAAUAAUGCAGAAAAUCAUAGUAAUGAGUCUUCCCCCUUUUGAGUACAGUAUCAUUCAGGAAGUGAAAGAGGAAGAUCAGGUUGUGGUAUUAAUCAGUGAAGGCACUGAGGAAGCAAAAAUAUCGGACAUUUGUGAGAAAGCAAAAUUCAAGACUCAUGGGAGGAGUUGUGGUCACAAGAGAAAACAAGGCUUAAACCACAGCCUGGGUUCUGUUUAUGCUGAUAGGGAAAGAGAAGUAAGUUUUUUUUUUUUAUGCACCACUGCCCAACCACAUGAAAAGACCAAUGUCAUUGGUGUGGAACUUUUUUCUCUUGAUCAGAAAGAUGCUAUCAAUGCAUGUUGUUUGUGUGGAAAAGAGGUCAGUAGAGGGAAGAGAGGCAGGCACACACAUGGGGACUUGUGGUUUCUUAAAGCAAGUGAAAAACAACCAUGUGGGAGAAACAUCUCUGCUGCAUUCAGCCCUAAUGCAGUAAGGAAAGAGGUGGAGGAGAGGGGUCAAACAUCUGAUAAAUUGCAGGCCACAAAGGCUGCAGUGAGUGGCAUAACAUCCAGUAUGCCCUUUAGUAUCAUCCUCAACCCUAGUGUUAGGUAGGAAAGCAGAAUGAAAGAGUGAUACACAGCAAAUGACAACCUACACUUAAACACGCAUUUCAGAGUAUAAGAAAAACCAUCCUAUAAUCCCCAUACUUAAUACAGAACUGGCAAAAAUGCUAGUUGGGGGCUGCAGCCCUUUUCAUUUGUCGAGGCAGAGGGCUUUCAGGCACUAGUGGAAUACACCAUUCCCAAGUGGCGCAUACCUAGCAAAACCUACCUUUCAGCUAAGGCAAUACCACAGUUGUACAAAACUCUCCAGAUAACUGUGUCCAAGGCAUUGAGGAUGUCAGAGGGGAGGAACAUCCAUCUGACCACUGAAAUGUGGACUAGUGGUCAGACCAGGGGUGGGCAAACUUUUUUUUGGCCUGAGGGCCAUGUCAGGGUUGCACAACUGUAUGGAGGGCCGGGUAGGGAAGGCUGUGCCUCCCCAAACAGCGUGGCCCCCACUCCCUGUCACCUGACUGCCAUGACAACCGCCCCCCAGAACCCCACCCCAUCCAACUCCCCCUGCUCCCCAUCCCCUGACUGCGCACCCCCCCCCCAUAACCUCUGCUCCAUCUAACCGCUCCCUGUCCUCUGACUGCCCCCGGAACCUCCCGCCCCCUUACCAUACUGGAGCCACCCACGCUGCUGCCAUGAGUGGUGGGCCAGAGCACUGGUGGCGCAGUGCGCUGAGACUGCGGGGAAGGGGCUGGGCAGGAUGGUACUGUGGGCCAUGGUUUGCCCACCUCUGGGUCAUGGACUGUGUGUAUAUCAGCUCACUGAGUAUCUCUUCCUUUUCAGUUAUCUGUGGCAGCAGGUAGCCAGACCCAUUGGCCACAGACUACAGCCUGCAAAACUGUAUUUUCCGUUUUGAAAAACCCUACAAUCCAUUGUGUAUUGGAGAAACUGCAGAAUAUUAAUGCAGAAUGGCUUUCCCCUUGCUCACUUUUAGCAGGGUUUAUUACUUCUGAUGAUGGCACAUACCACGUUAGUCCCAUUAAGGAAGGGGGGAUACUUUCAUGUGCCAUGCUUUGUACACAUUUCUUGAUGCAAUAGUUCAUUCAUUACUGAACAAAGAUGAUGUGAAAAACAUGCUGGCCAUUGCACAUAAAGUCUGCAGUCACUUCAGCCAUUCCUUUACAGCUGCUUAUACUUUACAAGAACUGCAAAGGCAAAAUGGCCUUCCAUUGCACCAACUACCAAACACCAUGGGCUAAACCAGUGGUUCUCAAACUUUUGGACUGGUAACCCCUUUCACAUAGCGCACCUCCUUAUCAAUUAAAAACACUUUAUAUAUUUAACACAUUGUAAAUGCUGGAGGCAAAGCAGGGUUUGGGGUGGAGGCUGACAGCUCCCAACCCCCAGUUUGAGAACCGCUGGGCUAGACAAACGGAAUUCCACUCUCUAUGCUCGAGCAAUUACUGGGGCAAUACAAAGCUAUUAGUGACUAUGCAGUGCCUCAGAGGUAUGAAGGAAGCAAUCUGUUUCUAACGCUUCCACAGUGGCGUUUUAAGAAAAGUCUGUGUAGUAUGCAGAGACCUUUUGAUGAAGCUUUCUGAUGGGGUGCUAAAAAGAUGCUAGUCUUAGCCAAGUCAAUCUGCUCAUUUGCCUCCUAGAGGGCAAAAAAGUGCCACCUGCAAGAACAGUUUGGAGAAGUGGAUGUUAUUGCAGCAGUAUAUUGGCUAAAUAGUAUUUUACCCAUUCUGAAAGAAGGCUCGUAUAAUUUAUAUUGGGGGGUCUGAGGAGUACAUUCUUGCUUUCUUUAGAUCCAUGAUUUAAAGUACAUUACCUGUCUUUCUCCCAGGUCUAAUACAGAAUAUUACCAAAAUGUUCUCUCAGAUACAGUUGCUAAAUGUGUUUCCACUAGAACUGGUGAGAAAACAAGCUCCUCUAGCAUCAGGUAUCAAAUAGAAGAAAGUUGGAGCAAAAUUGAAAGAUUUCAGUGUUCAGAAGGUGAGAUCUUUUUGGGUACCUCAUAGGCAUCACACUCCACGCAUUCCAAAAUGUCACUCUGGGAUUUGUUCCUUGAUCUAGAUUUGAUUAAAGUAGCAGAAAAGGGUACCAUGCUAGAAGAUCCUGCAUCUCUGAUUAUGAAAUGGUGGAGGCCUACCUCCAGGAGCAGUUAUUUUACACAAAAUGAUGAGCCUUUGAUCUCUUAGCUUGGUAAGAGAAGGGUUUGGCUAGCACUAAGCAUAGUAGCUAUGGAAUAUCUUCGCUGCCUUCUGGUGUGAUAUUCAUAAAAAUGAACAAGCAUUUUUUUGCCACUUGACUACACUUUGGAAGAUGACCUGGGAUAUGGGAUUAGUGAGGAGGGACUGGGAAGAAGUGCGUGAUGCCUCUAGUUUUUGGGGGAAAUUACUUCCUCUGAACAAUGUAUCUUUCUCAACUUUUUUAGUGUUUGAUUUUAAUGUGGUAUUUUGUGUUCAUUACUUUGUGUGGCACAGAUAUAGGGUGACAUUUGAUAUAAACAGAAGUAAUUAAAUGUAAAUCAUGGCAGAGUUUUUAAUGCACAACAAGAAAAAUCAGUCAGUUACAUGAUUUUAUAAGAUUGCUGUUUAACAAGAUGUAAGACCUUUUAAACUUAAGUUGCUUUGUAAAUGAAGCAUUAAAACAUUACAUGCAUCAAGCAAAACUUUAUACUGACAUCCUGUACCAAUAUUCAUUGGAUUUGAAUGUUGAAGUAUGUAGCAAGCCAGGAAAUGAGAAGUUAAAGCUACAUGUGAGAAUAAACCAUAUACCUUUUCUCAGAUUUUUACCUUCAUCAAAUUACAGCUGGGCAUGGAGGGAAAAAUGGAAUGGUGCUGCAUAAAUUCCUUGGUACCACUUACAUUUUUUGCUUUUCCAGGAUGAGGCAGGCACCUGCACCCUCUUCAUGCAGGGACAUUCUGCUUUUGUCUGUAAGUAGGCUAGGAAGGAUUUGACUGAGUGGUAAAUGUUGGCAAACAUUGAUUUCGCUAUUUAUAUGGAUAAUAAAAAUUCACAGAUAAACAGUGUUUUUCUUACAUUGCCGGAGCCCCAAGUUUGAUUUAAGGAUAUUAGUAUCUUUUAAUAUGUGGUGUUAAUAGGUGUCCUUAUAAACCUCUAACUUUUUUUCAUCUCAGUGUCUGCUGUCAUUAAAAAUAGUUGAAGCCUGUGUGCAGUCCUUUGUGCAGCUGAACUUAAAAUGAACUUAAAACUGGUUUAAAAAAAAAAAAAAGAGAAUGGGAUUCAUCAAAUUCUGUAUGCUAAGCAGCUCUUUCCCUAAGCUAGGCUGUGGGAGAUGCUGAUAAGGAAUGUGCUCUAUGGACAAGAAUCCAUCUCCUGCUGUCAAACAGUUUAGGUUCCCCUAAGCUGUUUCUUGUGAAUAUUAGGCAACUGCACAGACAGGGGAAGUGGAGAUGGUGCCUCAAGUUUUAACGUGGGCGUUAAGAGUAUUUUUAUAGGGUAGGGAUGAGGCAGACCCACAUUCAAUUCCAAAGAGCGUUCUUUGCAUGUUAUGGGAGAAUUUCCUAACCACUAAACUUGGGGGUUACUCUGAUAGAGGUCUCUGUCAGUGUGUCUUAGUAAAGCUGUUGUGCUGUGUGUAGACAGUCAUUGGAUAAUGGAGAGUGGAUGCUUCCUUCCUAGCUCAGGUGUGGGUGCCCUGACUAUCAGGCUGAAAAGUCAUUGGGCUAGAGCGUGUCUCUAAAGUAUCCAAAUUCAAACAGUUUCAGGCAAGAUAGGUGGAGAGCGUCCUUCUCUCUUAUUCCUCCCACCCCCACCCCACCCCCCGGUAGAGCAGUGGGGCUUAGGUAGGAGCCAGGUGGUCAGACACCUAGUGAUGCUGCAGUGCAUAUGCUCAGAGCCAGCAAGUUAGGUGCCUAAGAAACUUUUGCAGCACAAAUUUAGGUGUCAAGUAAUGUUAGGCACUAGCUGAGCAGGGAUUUUGUGGAUUCCAGUGCGGCCUAAAUCUGGUGUUUAGGCACCUUGCUAUCUUUGGGCAUCUGGUCCUUAGUGCCUAGCACAAAGCUUGAUGAGGGGGCUCUGUGUUGUCCUCGGACAUUAUCCAUGAAAGUGAUACGUUCCCAGAGUGGAGAUGGAAACUUAGAAAUGGAUUUGGUAGAGUCUAGGCAGAAAUAACACUGAGGAAGAAGCAAAUAGAAAUAAGACAUGGCAUCAAAUGCCAAGGUCCUUUGUUUUCUCAAUUGGUCUGUGGCAGACUACCUGUUCCAUUCUUUAGUCUAGUUAAGCUAUUCCAUUCUUUAGUCCAGCAGUUUUUGAACCUUGGGGCCAAGGCCAAAAUCAUUUUCACCCCCUUCCCACCUCAGAAAAGUCACUAGGCAACUCCUGGGACCUACAGCAGGAAAGUCAUGCUCAUGCAGGGGUGAGAAUUUCAUUUGCUGUUCUGGGCCAUGCGCUGGAAUAUAAAUUUGCUAUAUACUCCCUUUAAUUCCAAAGCAGUACUUCUGUUGAUGUUAGUGGGAGGUUUGCAGAGAGAUAAAGUACACUAAAAAGACCUUUAUGUAAUUAAACUUACCCUUAUCUGUACAAUACUUCAUUGCUGUACUCGACAUUAAACAAAACUUACUUUUAGAACAAA